ensembl:lncRNA
CACAGACUGAUAUAUUCCAAAUAUUUAUUUCUUUUAAUUUUGAUGAUUAUAUUUGACAACUAAGGAAAAUCCCAAAUUCAGUAUCUCAGAAAAUUUAAAUAUUCAAUUCAAUUCAAUUCAAGUUUAUUUGUACAGCACUUUUUACAAUACAAAUCAUUGCAAAGCAACUUUACAGAAAAUUAAGUUACAAAAUUUAGUAGUAGCUUAUCAGUGGUGAUUGUCAGUUUAUGCGCAUACGGCAGAAAUGUACGGAAAAAUCAAUAAAACACACAAUAAAACACAAACAGACGAUUAACACUAUUAACAACAAUUAUGCAAUCAAAUUUAUAGCAAAAUGUGGUAGUUCUGUAUGUUGUCUCUGGAUUAGCAUCAUCUGAGGUCCUCUGAGGGGUUGGCAUCAUCUCUUCUCAGGUGUUCUGGAUCCAGACUGGAGCUUGUGUAAAUCCUAGUUACCCGUGGUAAAAAAGAGAAACAAAUAGAGACAUAAUUAGCGUAGCUGCUGUUCCAGCCAAUUAAAAUUUAUUUGUUUAAACCAAGCUAAAGAAUAAUAAUGCACAUUUGAUCAUAUAUAACUGCAGUCCAAAAUUAUGAGAUGCAUUAUUUGAAUGCUUGGCCAAAGAGGUGUGUUUUUAAUCUAGAUUUAAACAGAGAAAGUGUGUCUGAACCCCGAACAUUAUCAGGAAGGCUAUUCCAGAGUCUGGGAGACAAAUGCGAAAUCAGAGGACCUCAGAUGAUGCUAACCCAGAGACAACAUACAGAACUACCACAUUUUGCUAUAAGUUUGAUUACAUAAUUGCUGUUAAUAGUGUUAAUCGUCUGUUUGUUUACGUCUUUUAUUGAUUUUUCCGAACAUUUCUGCCAUAUGCACAUAAACUGACAGUCAUCACUGAUAAGCUACUACUAAAUAUUGUAGAAACCUAAUUUUCUGUAAAGUUGCUUUGCAAUGAUUUGUAUCGUAAAAAGCGCUUUACAAAUAAACUUGAAUUGAAUUGAAUUGAAUUUGUGUGUAC